UACAGAGGGUGCUAGCGUUGUUCGGAAUCAUUGGGCGUAAAGGGCGUGUAGGCGGUUUGUUAAGUCAUGUGUGAAAGCCCUCGGCUCAACCGAGGAAUUGCGCUCUAAACUACUGUGCUUGAGGGACCUAGAGGUGAGCGGAACUGAUGGUGGAGCGGUGAAAUGCGUUGAUAUCAUCAGGAACACCGGAGGCGAAGGCGGCUCACUGGGGGUCUUCUGACGCUGAGGAACGAAAGCCAGGGGAGCGAACGGG
rnacentral:rRNA from 1 species